GCCUCCUUCCCCCCGUCCCCGCACCUCUCACUGCCGGUGGGGCCGUGAGUGCCCCGCGGGGCUCCGGGACCGCCCGCUCGCAGCGCGGGGAGGGCGGGAAGGGGCGGCGGCCCCCCCGUAGGCCGCGCAGGAGGCCGGCGCAGCCCGUGGCGCUGGCGGGCCGCCUCCCCCAGGCCGCGCAGGGCAGCGCGUCCCUCUUCCGCGGGGCGGCGGCGGGGCCGGGGCGGGCGGUGCUGCAGGGCCCGGCGGAGGGUGCGCUGGGCGCCCCGGGCCCUGCCGCGGCCCCGCUCCCGCAGGGCGGCCUGGCCCCGCCGGUGGUGCGCAUCCCGGCGGAGUGGCCGCCGUGGGGGUUCCCCGGGCGUCGUUAGUGAAACGGGCUGCGAGGCAGGUGCUGCGGGAGCAGGGAGCGCGGGUGUCGGAGUCGCCGUGAUUCCGUCGCUGGAGAUGUGCCGUGUUGGGGGAGAAGCGGCUCGGAGAGGCCGGCCAGAAGCACAGACUUUGAAGAAGCCUUGCAUUCCUGUGGAAACUGCAGCAAAGGUCCUGAUGUUGCAGAUACUUAUAAGAGUGUUGAAGUGAAGUCACUGAGGUCUCUGAUAUGCAGAAAGUUAACAUGUGCAUAUAUUUAUAUGUAUGUGGUAUAUGUGGAUUUUGCCUAGAACACUAUAAUUCAUACUUCUGAAGAUGUCUAGAAACAAAUUCCCAUUAAAAUAUAAUAGAGUUGGUAUUUCAGGUUUAAUCCGGUACUGUGAUUUCUGGGCCCUCGAGUCUUUGACUCGCUGUGAUUUAUUUCUUCAGUGAAGAACUUAGUGUCUUCUGGAAGUCUUGUACACAGAUCCUUUACUUCAGCGUGGUAGUAUUUUUUUAACUCAAAUUGAUUGCCCUGCUACUGUGUAACAUCAGUUAAUACAACUCAUCAGUUGCUAGCCUUUAGUGGCCCCAAAGCUAAUUUGUAGGAUGACUUCUUUUGCUUGAGCUAAGCAGUCUGUAGGAGUCUUUUGCCAGUGUUGCUGUAGUUUGCUUGCAGUGACAACAAAGACUUUCUCAUUCAAUGUCAUUCAUGUGUUAUUGUCCUUCAUGUGCUUUUGAGAUUAUUUUGACAGAGUGAUAGUGUGUAUUUUAAAGCUGGAAUAUGUUUUUCCCACACAGUUAAAGAAACUUUGACAAUAUACACCUGAGAUUGUACACUUCUGUAUAAAAUCAUAGCCAGUUAAGAAUGUCCCUGGAUGUACUUCAUAUAUAAACACGACAAGAUUAAUGUAUUUUAUAUAUAUUCACUUUGUGUAUUUUAAGGCCUGUUUAAAAAAAAUUAAAAAUACAUAUUAAAUGUUACCUGUGGUUCAAUGAA